UUAACAGACAAGGAGAAGGCAAGGUUACUUGCCUCCUGCAGGAAUUUCCAAAACCCGAGCUCACACAGCCAACUGGCCUGGCUCAGACAAUCCCCUAUGCUUUGAAAAGAAGCACUUUGCUGCAUUUUAGGAAGAGGUGGUAGCUUGGGGCUGGAAGAGAGAAGAGGUUGUUCAAAGGAAUGAAAGAAGACAUGGGGCUACCACAGACAAGCCUGUAGAAGCCAGGAGGCAGUCGUGUUCCAAGUGAACCACUGAGGCCAGAAACAUGACUUAGAAGAAGUCAUUCUAGGGCGUCUGGAUGACUCAGUCUGAUUCAAGGAUACGUGACAACAAAAUGCAGUACCUGACCCCAGACUGGAUCCUGAACCAUAAGGGGAAAGUGCUAUGAAAGUCAGCAUUUGGACCAACUGAUGAGAUGGAAAUAUCACAAGGAGAUUAGAUUAAAAGUAUUAAGUAAA